rnacentral:rRNA from 1 species
UUUUCUUCGGCCACCUUUCUGGGGUACCGGCCUUAUAUCUCAAUAAAUUACAUAUUUUUUUCCUCACUGUCCCAAGACUACCCGCUGAACUUAAGCAUAUCAAUAAGCGGAGGAAAAGAAACAACAGGGAUUACCUCAGUAACGGCGAGUGAAGCGGUAAAAGCUCAAAUUUGAAAUCUUCGGAAUUGUAAUUUGAUGGAUAAAAUUGCCACGGACAAAAGUUCACUGGAAAGUGACGCCGUAGAGGGUGAUAGCCCCGUUUACGUCCACCGGCACUAUAAUUUUAUUCCAAAGAGUCGGGUUGUUUGGGAAUGCAGCUCAAAGUGGGUGGUAAAUUCCAUCUAAAGCUAAAUAUUGACGAGAGACCGAUAGCGAACAAGUACAGUGAUGGAAAGAUGAAAAGAACUUUGAAAAGAGAGUGAAACAGUACGUGAAAUUGUUGAAAGGGAAGGGGAGGGAAGAUGUUAAAGGGACUCCUUCUUUGUAGGGAUCCCCGCCAAAAAGUCUUUCCUCUCGCCCGUCUUGAAACACGGACCAAGGAGUCU